rnacentral:rRNA from 1 species
GACGAACGCUGGCGGCGUGCUUAACACAUGCAAGUCGAACGGAAAGGCCCUGCUUUUGUGGGUUGCUCGAGUGGCGAACGGGUGAGUAACACGUGAGUAACCUGCCCUUGACUUUGGGAUAACUUCAGGAAACUGGGGCUAAUACCGGAUAGGAGCUCCUGCUGCAUGGUGGGGGUUGGAAAGUUUCGGCGGUUGGGGAUGGACUCGCGGCUUAUCAGCUUGUUGGUGGGGUAGUGGCUUACCAAGGCUUUGACGGGUAGCCGGCCUGAGAGGGUGACCGGCCACAUUGGGACUGAGAUACGGCCCAGACUCCUACGGGAGGCAGCAGUGGGGAAUAUUGCACAAGGGGCGGAAGCCGGAUGCAGCAACGCGGCGUGCGGGAUGACGGCCUUCGGGUUGUAAACCGCUUUCGCCUGUGCCGAAGCGUGAGUGACGGUAAUGGGUAAAGAAGCACCGGCUAACUACGUG